AUUGAACGCUGGCGGCAGGCCUAACACAUGCAAGUCGAACGAGUGGCGGACGGGUGAGUAAUGUCUGGGAAACUGCCUGAUGGAGGGGGAUAACUACUGGAAACGGUAGCUAAUACCGCAUACCAUCGGAUGUGCCCAGAUGGGAUUAGCUAGUGGGUGGGGUAAAGGUUCACCAAGGCGACGAUCCCUAGCUGGUCUGAGAGGAUGACAGGCGAAAGUGGAACUGUGACACGGUCCAGACUCCUACGGGAGGCAGCAGGGGGUAAUAUUGCACAAUGGGCGCAAGCCGGAUGCAGCCACGCAGCGGGUAUGAAGAAGGCCUGCGGGUUGUAAAGUACUUUCAGCGGGGAGGCGUUACCCGCAGAAGAAGCACCGGCUAACUCCGUGCCAGCAGCCGCGGUAAUAC
rnacentral:rRNA from 1 species